AAAAAGAAAAAGACAAAAACAACACCAAAAAAGUAAACACUUCUUUGGAUAAUAUUCUGUGAUAAAAUUAAUUUUUUAUUUCUGAUUGGUACUCUUUUUUUUCCACCCAGAACACAACCAAAAAAGAAGAAAGUUGUUGUGGAGGAUUCACCUUCUGAAGAAGAUCAAUACUUUGAUGGGUACAGUACCUCGUAAGCUAUAUUACCGUCUAUCAUCGUAAUUAUUUUUGUUAACAUCUUCUUUUAUGAAUGUAGUGAGAGAUAUGAAAUAUCAAGUGACGAACUAGAUGAAUGGCUAAGGGAAAACGUUGAUAAAUCUGCUGCAGAGGGGGAGAACCAAGCUGACCUGCGAUCGACAGAAGGUCGCUAUGUGUCCUCUGAAACAAUACCGGCUGUGAACUUGGGAAGUGAUGAUCCUUUCUCUCAAGGACGCACAGAACAGAGUAGUGUAAACCAGCCGUCAGAGAGCAUGUUGAGUCCGACUGAUUCGAAUAUGAUGGUUGUGAGGGAACAGACACCGUCGGAAGCGCUUGCAAUAGUCCCAAUUCAGGUUUUUGUGCCGGCAUCCCAAACAACCACUGAGACAGAUUUUGAACCAACCCCUAUGCUACAGAUUGAAGGGACUACAGAAACCACUCCUGAACCCCCCAAACAACUUCAAGAGACCACACCCACG